GGAGGCGUGGCAGAGCGGCCGAAUGCACCGGUUUUGAAAACCGGCGUCCUUCACGGGACCGGGGGUUCGAAUCCCUCCGCCUCCGCCA
rnacentral:tRNA from 2 species